UACGUGAGCCCCGAGCGUUAUCCGGAUUUAUUGGGUGUAAAGCGUCUGUAGGUGGCUUUGCAAGUUUUUCGUCAAAUCCGGGGGCUUAACCCCCGGGCUGCGGAAAAAACUGCAUUGCUAGAGGACGGGAGAGGUAGAUGGAAUUGCCGGUGUAGUGGUAAAAUGCGUUAAUAUCGGCAAGAACACCAAAUGCGAAAGCUUUCUACUGGAACGUUCCUGACACUCAGAGACGAAAGCGUGGGUAGCGAAUGGG
rnacentral:rRNA from 1 species